UAAACACCUGAAAGCUGGGCCCUGGCUGCACGGACGUGCGGACGGCGUCGACGGAGCGAGGCCGAGCCGUGGCUCGAGACGUCGCCGGCGUCCUGGUCCGUGGAUCAGAUCCGGUAGCGCCGGCAGUCGACGCAGUAAAUGCGAUUGGUGGGCCGCUCGGGGGAUGGGGCACUGGAUUUGGAUCUAGCAUUCUUCCCCAGGCGGCGAAGCGGCGGGGAAAUCUACUGCGGCGAAGGCGAUUUGGCAGUCCAGCGAGCUCGAAGGUGCUCGGGCAGCCAUGGAGUUCUUGAUGCAGCCCAUAAGCAGGACACUGCUAGAAGAGAUCAAUGAUAACAAUAGCAUGAUGGAGAAUGUGCGGGUCCUGGUCGUCGCGGCCGCGGAGGUAGAGUUGGCAGCACCGGCGGCUUCCAGCGCCGACAGGCAAAUCUGUCUUGAAGCAGCCAGUGCAAAGCCUGCAGGUGCAGAUGGGGCUGAAUGCUUAGAGCACUCCAUAGAGCAGCUGGACCCAAAAACACCGGGCUGGGCGCAAAGAGUGCGUGUCAGUGCUGCUGCUCUAGGUAGGGCUCCUUUCCCGGACAGGGUUACAGCCCUGGAGAAGACUGUCUGACAAUUUGCAAAGGAACCCGAACCAGGAGACAUUGUCAUUGUGCCAAAGAUAGGAACAAGUUUGGACACACUUGGCGAGGCGUACGACUUUUACAAUUUAUACUCGUGGGAGAAAGGAUAGAUAUGGAAAAAGCAGGCUAAAUGUCAACCGGACGAAAUGCAUGCUGGAGACAGUCUGUGGAUGUGCGGGGAAGCCAAUAAUUGAAGAUACUCGUUCUUGCCACUGUGAAUGCCCUGCCCUCAUAAGGUUGUUGCAGUCAAAGGACAAUGGUUGGUAUAUAGCUGAGCAUCGAGAAGUGCACAACCAUGCACUGUCAUAGACAUUUUUUUUUGAUAAAAGAGAGCAUUCUCUCCGAUUUCCAUUAAGAGAAAUCACCAUGUCUUACAAAGAAAAAACAGGAAAUAAAACUGCAGCAUAACCCCCCCCCCUACGCAGUACUGUCACAGAAAUAUGGUCAGACACAAGCAUAUUGAUGUGUACAACAGGGAUCUUGUGAAGCAGCUUUGGCAAAACAAUGUAAACCUUGCCAAGGUGUACAUCAUUAUCAGUAGCUUCUUUGGAAGAUGGAGAAUGUACCAUUCACAAAGAGAGCAUUACGGAAUCUGUGUGGCUGACCAGGAAGCCGAUGAAGAAUUGCCCCACCUAACAUGGAGGCACCCACUUGAACCAGAUUACUCGACAUUGGUGCUAUCCGAUUUCGACUAUGUCCACACUGUCGAUUCAGAACCAGUUAGCAGCUAGUGCGCCGAAGUAUGACAUCACAUCAGCACAACUGUUCUUCACUCCCGUUCCAGAUCCCGAAGGUUGGAUGGUCAUUUUUUGGGACAUGGCCGGUUACACGGCUGAUGACAGUCAUCAACCUGUUGUACAGUAAGAAAUGUCCACACCCACCUACCCAGCAACUGGACGAAAUCAUAGCAUGGAAGCUACAUUAUGCCCUGUUCCAUUGCCGGACAGAAUACUAUGCCGGGUGGCCAGCAAGCAAGGAAGGCUGGACUGUGAAGUUCCUGGCAUUCGCUGAGACCAAAUUCACACGCGAGGAGUUUGGUGCUUGCGUUGUCCACAUAGUCCGUCAGUUCGACAGGGACAACCUGAAGCUGCCCAUUACAAAGCACAACAUAUCAAAAUCAAAGCACGACGCCCUGCGCACGAAUGCAUGAAGCUACAGGGAAAUUUCUCCUCCCCCGCCCGUGAGGCAGUUUGGCAUGUUCUUGCCCUAUCAGACUCCACAUUUGACACCAGCUAAAACACCGAUGUACUAAAUUACCCAGGAUGUCCCACUGGGUGAUUUAUCCUUAUCAUCUCAUGAAAAGAAGUGUUUUCAACGCAAGCUUGUACCCCUAAUGCUACAUUUGAAUUAUGUGCCGAGCAUUGUACUAUCAAAGACCAUGGUUUCAAACCAUAUCCUUUUUUGUUAAGCAAUUUGCUGCCCCUGAUAUACU